rnacentral:lncRNA from 1 species
AUUUGUUUGCUACAAUAACUCAUAUAUGGUUGAAUUGGCAUCUCCAACUCCAACCUAUUACCAUUAUUAAGUUUCGCAUCAAAUUUUACUAUGUGUGUCAUCUGUCAAGAUCAUCCAACAACUGUAAUGGCCUAGCUGCUCAAAAUUGUCCAUAACCGGGACACGGCUAAUCAUGAUUAGUUUAUACACUCUGCAGAGGUUAGUACGCUG